rnacentral:rRNA from 1 species
GACAGAGGCCUCGAGCGUUAGGCGGAAUCACUGGGCUUAAAGCGUGUGUAGGCGGAUCGGUAAGUACCUUGUGAAAUCCCACAGCUUAACUGUGGAACUGCUUGGUAUACUGCCAGUCUUGAGCCAGCUAGGGGCUACCGGAACAAAUGGUGGAGCGGUGAAAUGCGUAGAUAUCAUUUGGAACGCCAAUGGUGAAAACAGGUAGCUGGGGCUGUGCUGACGCUGAGACACGAAAGCCAGGGGAGCGAACGGG